AGACCCGAAACCCGGUGAUCUAGCCAUGGGCAGGUUGAAGGUUGGGUAACACUAACUGGAGGACCGAACCGACUAAUGUUGAAAAAUUAGCGGAUGACCUGUGGCUGGGGGUGAAAGGCCAAUCAAACCGGGAGAUAGCUGGUUCUCCCCGAAAGCUAUUUAGGUAGCGCCUCGUGAAUUCAUCUCCGGGGGUAGAGCACUGUUUCGGCUAGGGGGCCAUCCCGGCUUACCAACCCGAUGCAAACUGCGAAUACCGGAGAAUGUUAUCACGGGAGACACACGGCGGGUGCUAACGUCCGUCGUGAAGAGGGAAACAACCCAGACCGCCAGCUAAGGUCCCAAAGUCAUGGUUAAGUGGGAAACGAUGUGGGAAGGCCCAGACAGCCAGGAUGUUGGCUUAGAAGCAGCCAUCAUUUAAAGAAAGCGUAAUAGCUCACUGGUCGAGUCGGCCUGCGCGGAAGAUGUAACGGGGCUAAACCAUGCACCGAAGCUGCGGCAGCGACACUGUGUGUUGUUGGGUAGGGGAGCGUUCUGUAAGCCUGUGAAGGUGUGUCGUGAGGCAUGCUGGAGGUAUCAGAAGUGCGAAUGCUGACAUAAGUAACGAUAAAGCGGGUGAAAAGCCCGCUCGCCGGAAGACCAAGGGUUCCUGUCCAACGUUAAUCGGGGCAGGGUGAGUCGACCCCUAAGGCGAGGCCGAAAGGCGUAGUCGAUGGGAAACGGGUUAAUAUUCCCGUACUUGGUGUUACUGCGAAGGGGGGACGGAGAAGGCUAUGUUGGCCGGGCGACGGUUGUCCCGGUUUAAGCGUGUAGGUGUGUGUUCCAGGUAAAUCCGGUUCACUUUAACACUGAGGCGUGACGACGAGGCACUACGGUGCUGAAGCAACAAAUGCCCUGCUUCCAGGAAAAGCCUCUAAGCAUCAGGUAACAUCAAAUCGUACCCCAAACCGACACAGGUGGUCAGGUAGAGAAUACCAAGGCGCUUGAGAGAACUCGGGUGAAGGAACUAGGCAAAAUGGUGCCGUAACUUCGGGAGAAGGCACGCUGACACGUAGGUGAAGUGAUUUACUCAUGGAGCUGAAGUCAGUCGAAGAUACCAGCUGGCUGCAACUGUUUAUUAAAAACACAGCACUGUGCAAACACGAAAGUGGACGUAUACGGUGUGACGCCUGCCCGGUGCCGGAAGGUUAAUUGAUGGGGUCAGCGCAAGCGAAGCUCCUGAUCGAAGCCCCGGUAAACGGCGGCCGUAACUAUAACGGUCCUAAGGUAGCGAAAUUCCUUGUCGGGUAAGUUCCGACCUGCACGAAUGGCGUAAUGAUGGCCAGGCUGUCUCCACCCGAGACUCAGUGAAAUUGAACUCGCUGUGAAGAUGCAGUGUACCCGCGGCAAGACGGAAAGACCCCGUGAACCUUUACUAUAGCUUGACACUGAACAUUGAGCCUUGAUGUGUAGGAUAGGUGGGAGGCUUUGAAGUGUGGACGCCAGUCUGCAUGGAGCCGACCUUGAAAUACCACCCUUUAAUGUUUGAUGUUCUAACGUGGACCCGUUACCCGGGUUGCGGACAGUGUCUGGUGGGUAGUUUGACUGGGGCGGUCUCCUCCUAAAGAGUAACGGAGGAGCACGAA
rnacentral:rRNA from 2 species